GACGAACGCUGGCGGCGUGCUUAACACAUGCCAGUCGAACGGAAAGGCCCUGCUUUUGUGGGGUGCUCGAGUGGCGAACGGGUGAGUAACACGUGAGUAACCUGCCCUUGACUUUGGGAUAACUUCAGGAAACUGGGGCUAAUACCGGAUAGGAGCUCCUGCUGCAUGGUGGGGGUUGGAAAGUUUCGGCGGUUGGGGAUGGACUCGCGGCUUAUCAGCUUGUUGGUGGGGUAGUGGCUUACCAAGGCUUUGACGGGUAGCCGGCCUGAGAGGGUGACCGGCCACAUUGGGACUGAGAUACGGCCCAGACUCCUACGGGAGGCAGCAGUGGGGAAUAUUGCACAAUGGGCGGAAGCCUGAUGCAGCAACGCCGCGUGCGGGAUGACGGCCUUCGAGUUGUAAACCGCUUUCGCCUGUGACGAAGCGUGAGUGACGGUAAUGUGUAAAGAAGCACCGGCUAACUACGUG
rnacentral:rRNA from 1 species